AAAGUACUCCCUCCGUCCCAAAAUUCUUGUCUUAGAUUUAUCUAGAUACAGAUGUAUCUAAUUUAGAUACAUCCGUAUCUAGACAAAUCUAAGACAAGAAAUUUGGGACAGAGGAAGUAGUUG
rfam:Triticum aestivum genome assembly, contig: Triticum_aestivum_CS42_TGACv1_scaffold_220644_3B